UACGGGGGAGCAAGCGUUGUUCGGAUUUACUGGGCGUAAAGGGCGCGUAGGCGGCCCGGUAAGUCCGCUGUAAAAGUCCAGGGCUCAACCCUGGAAAGCCGGUGGAUACUGUCGGGCUAGAGUCCGGAAGAGGCGAGUGGAAUUCCUGGUGUAGCGGUGGAAUGCGCAGAUAUCAGGAGGAACACCGGUGGCGAAGGCGGAUCUCUGGGCCUUGCCUGACGCUGAGGCGCGAAAGCUAGGGGAGCGAACAGGA
rnacentral:rRNA from 1 species